rnacentral:rRNA from 1 species
AUGAACGCUUGCGGCGUGCUUAAUACAUGCAAGUCGAACGAACAGACGAGGAGCUUGCUCCUCUGACGUUAGCGGCGGACGGGUGAGUAACACGUGGAUAACCUACCUAUAAGACUGGGAUAACUUCGGGAAACCGGAGCUAAUACCGGAUAAUAUAUUGAACCGCAUGGUUCAAUAGUGAAAGACGGUUUUGCUGUCACUUAUAGAUGGAUCCGCGCCGCAUUAGCUAGUUGGUAAGGUAACGGCUUACCAAGGCGACGAUGCGUAGCCGACCUGAGAGGGUGAUCGGCCACACUGGAACUGAGACACGGUCCAGACUCCUACGGGAGGCAGCAGUAGGGAAUCUUCCGCAAUGGGCGAAAGCCUGACGGAGCAACGCCGCGUGAGUGAUGAAGGUCUUCGGAUCGUAAAACUCUGUUAUUAGGGAAGAACAAAUGUGUAAGUAACUAUGCACGUCUUGACGGUACCUAAUCAGAAAGCCACGGCUAACUACGUG